UCCUGCCCGCGCCAAGACUUCAAGGUACUCAAGAUAAAAACAAUAAUAUUCUUUUCAAAAAUAUUUCCAACUGUACAAUGUCUACUGGAGACUAACUGAAUCAACACACCAGACAAAAAUGGUUCCCAAAUUCUGGUUACUCUGGACACUCAGUGUUAAACUUGGUGAGGACAACAUAUUGUCAGUCUCCAGAAGGGACAUUCACCCAACAAGAAACCAGGCUAAUAAUUCAGCUGGGAAAAUUCUCACUUCCUGUAUCUGACAUGAUACUGGAUGUCCUGACCAGAGUCAUUCCAGCAGAUAGAAGGUCACCAGGCAGUGCGCAGGCCAGCCGUGGUGGUGGAGUGCAUGUCACCAAUACCCCAGAGCCAGGAGGGAAGCUAAAGGAACUAAAUCUCCUCAAAGAUGGCCAAGGCACAUGACAUGACCACUUCCUGACUUCCAUGGUGGGGAUACCAUCCUACCACCAGGAGGAGUGUCUCAAGUCCUAGAGGUAAGCCGGAUGUCCACUGUGUGAAGACCGACAGUCUGUCUCCAAGGAAGAACAGCAAACACUUUAAACAAUAGUACGACCUACCAAAAAAAGAGGCUUGUCAAUAUUUGUGUCUUGCUGACUUCAGAAAGUUAUGUCGAAAGUUUUCUUCUCUAAGUUCUAGAUCAGUUUAAAUACAUUAAAAUUUUCUGUUCCCUGGAAGUUUUAAAGAAUUCGUUAAUGAAACAUUUGAGUCCAGAGCUUCUCAGAUUAAG